AGGCAAACUUUUAUGUGAAUGGUGAAGUUAACAAACAAAACCACCGCUAUUGGUCUGACACUAACCCACAUUGGAUGGAUCCCUCCAAGACUGUUGGAACAACAAAAGUGAUGGUUUGGUGUGGUUUAUGGGGUACAACGAUUGUUAGAGUGAAUUGUUAAAUGUUGUCAUUUCUAUGCUUGCCAACUCUGAUGAAAAGGAUUCCACUGCCCUUCCCCCCAGAUUCUCGAGGUUCUGGUUGGGGGGCUGUAAUGUUUUAUUGCAGAUACAUCCUAUCUGGAAGAUCUGCUUCUUUUGAUGUAAGCUUCCUGCGUUUACGACCCUUUGGUCAGCAGGAGGUAACUAACACACACACACACACACACAUUCUUACUUACAUACAGAAGUUCACACAUAUACAUACAAUGCCUUAGAACCUGUGGAGAAAGGAGAUGUUAUUUUUCCUGCCAUUUUUUAUCAGUUCAUUUUACUAUUUUCAGUUUUAUUAUUUGGUUAUUGUUAUCGCAUCAUAAUCAUAUAACAAGCAUUUGCACUGAUGCAUUUAUUGAUAUUACCUUAAAGUUUGCAUUCAUUUUAAGCUCACUUUUAUUUACUUUAUUUACUUUAUGUACAGGUGCCAGUAUAAUCAUAUGAUAAUUUGUCAUUGCAGGAGCACCUAUGAUUAUUUUACACACAUUGCAUUUGUGCCUUUAAAGGAGUUGUGACUCAAGAAGUCGUCUCUUGAGGGUUAUAAACUUUUGGUUAGCGUUAGGAUCAGCCAAUCUACUGUGAGGAUGACCUGAGUUAUUGAAGGAUUGCACAUGCUUACAAUACAUUUGUAUUCUGUUCUUUUUAUUAUUUUAUUCAUGUAUACCUUUUUAUUAAGUUUUAAGUAGUGGUAUCAGAUUGAGACAUUUGUUUAAUACCUUUUUAUACAUUUUACAUAUAAGCCAAGAUCAUCACACAUAGGAUGGCCUCAGCCUAGUUGCAUAAGCAGAGAGGUCACAUAAGGUGCAAGGCGAGGGUAACACAUGCACAGACAUACACACACACCCACACGCACACAGAUAUACAAGUGAGUUUAUUUAGGUGAAAGGUAAGCAUGCUUGCUAGGGUUGCAGUUUUUUGUGGGUGUAGGUGAUGGUUUGAUAAGAGUACAGGAUGUCUAACUGUCUUGUGGGGACUGUGGGUGCGGGGACUGCACCGAGAGAAGGAUGGAAGCCGAUGUUCUUUUAAAAGGGGUCAAAAGUUAACAGGGGUUUUGUGGGUUUGAUUUGACGUAUGCAAAUAUUGUAUCUGCUUAAGACAUGAAGGGGCGUUGUAUUAACCUGCCCAUAUAAAACCUUUGUGUUGUUUAUUGUUUGAGGGAUCCACCUUUGAUGUUCUGCAGGGUGUGUCUCCCACACGUGUGAUUUUCAUUAAAGUCAUCGCUUGAAUUCA
ensembl:lncRNA